rnacentral:tRNA from 1 species
GCCUUCAUAGCUCAGCUGGUUAGAGCAUCUGACUGUUAAUCAGAGGGUCACAGGUUCGAGUCCUGUUGAGGGCG